CUUCUGAUAAGAGUUCUUUUACAGCUACUGCAGUCGAUUUCGCACUUUCGCGGUCCUUCGCCAGUAAGGUAUUGCCGCUUGAUUGGCCCUUCCGAGAGAAAUCUCCACUCCCUGACCUGACCUUCACUGAUCGUCCGACCGGAGUGCGAUAGGAUGCGGCCCCGUCUCCACCUUAUCACCAUCGCCCACCCAACGGUCUUCCGCGAGAAACGGUUGCCCCGGCUUCCAAGAAACCGAACGCUGUGCCUGGCAAAGAUAAGUGGGGAACCGUGCAAACACGCAUCAGCUUUUGUUCCACGAUUAAUUGAAUUUAUUCGCCAGCUGGCUUGGCGAAUGGUCAAUUGUAAAGGAUUGCGUUAAGUUGAUAAGCGUCGCAAUCGGGUUGUUGAUGCUAUUUGGCACCACGGGUUGCGGAAGAAACAGUUUUGCAGGUUGUGUCAUGGGCCGCGCACUGAUUGGACGCGAGUGCGUGCGAGAUGCAACCGCAGCAUCGCAACUUGGAACUCAGAUAGCUACCCGUGCACAGGUACAGGUAGCCAUAUGGCCAUAUGGAGGACAGCCAGAGCAGAUAGACUUGCUAGAAUUAGGAGGACCUCCCGAAUUGACCAACUGUAAGAUGCGCAAUUCUCGAAACAUCACAACUGCGCUGUGCACGCAAUCGAACCGGGUGGGGGGUAGAGCCUGACCGUAACGAUAAUAUCUACCCCAACAAGCCGGAAACGAUUGUGUCGAUUAGGUCGUCAGAGUCCCGCAGGGUAGCAGCUGUACGACACAACCGAGGAGACCUUGAGCUCAUUUCAUCAGAAGACUCGGGGCCCGACUGUGUGCAGAUCGACAUUUAACCGAUACUUUCACGCCAGAUAUAAAAUGGACCCGAUUCCUGAUGACUACACCAGACGGUGGGCUGAAGUGACUUACCACGUGCAUACGCGUUUGCGCUUUCCUCUGCAAUACGAGCUACGGUGGUGUAGUGCUGCGAUGAAAACAUUGCUCGUUUCGAUUUCGCUGUUUGUUGUGGCGCAAGGUGCGUACGUGGUGCGGACAUUCGCGGACGCGACCCGGUAUAAGGAUGAGUGCACCAAGCAGUACUCGGUGCGGGGCAGCCCACUGAUCGACUACAUGCGACAGGUGGCGCUGCACACGGACGAUGCCGAUAGUCGCUGGUGCAUCAUACGCUGUAUCCUGCACAAGUCGGAGCUGCUAGCGAUCGAGCAGGGUGAUGUGCUGCACGAGUCGAACGUGCACGCCCAGAUGCAGUACAGCAACGCGAUCGUGGAGGACCCGGACGAUAUCCGGAGCGAGACGAGCCGAUGCCUGCAGGAACCGAACGCCACGCACGACGAGUGUCUGCGGGCGUACACGUUCUUCGCCUGCAUCCAGAGCACGGAGUAUGACUUAUUUUGACGCUUUCCUGCUGUGGUGUGUAAAUGUUAGUCUGUUCACCCUCCAAAACUUUCCACGAGCCGAUGUCUUCAAGCACCAGCGCAGUCUAGCGGUGGUGGCGGCCACCAUGUGUCAACAGGUUCAUUAUCAAUCGCCUGCAGUCGGGCAUCGGAUCGGACAGAUCAGCUGAUCGUUGGGCAGGCCCUGGAACUGUGGGGCCUUCACUUAUCACAUGCGCAGACCCGUUCGCUUCCUGACGACCCCGAGCGUGGGGUAUCAUCAAUUUACACUGCACCGCGCACCGUUCGGGGGUUCGGGGGACAUAAUCAAAUUGAAGUGUGCUCACACGACGCCUCGCACAAUCGGAACCUGUAGGAGCAUAGCAAACCCGGGUGGAUAUGAUGAGGGUCAAUGUACAUCAGCGGCCGGCAUCACCGUCGUCGAACACAGUCGUGGGCUAUCAAGUAAAUAAGUGGAGCAAAUCAAUCCCUCUCAGCCCGUGUGUGUGUGUGCCGCCCCGGCCACCGGGAUGCUUGAUUGUCUGGGAUGAUCGUUUGAAGGCGUGUGUGCGUGCGUGCGUGCCCGCGCGUCUUAUAAAAGCCGGCCGACCGACCAAGCUCAACCAUCAGUCCGCGUUCUUGCCCAUCACCGGAAGGUAGUGUAGUGCAGCUUCCUCACCUCGUGCGAUAAGUGCCGUACCUGUGCUCUAGAGAAAAGAUGCUGAAGUUUGUGAUUGCAGUUCUGGCCCUCGGUGCCGUGGU